rnacentral:rRNA from 1 species
AGUGAACGCUGGCGGUAGGCCUAACACAUGCAAGUCGAACGGCAGCACAGUAAGAGCUUGCUCUUACGGGUGGCGAGUGGCGGACGGGUGAGGAAUACAUCGGAAUCUACUUUUUCGUGGGGGAUAACGUGGGGAAACCUACGCUAAUACCGCAUACGACCUACGGGUGAAAGCAGGGGAUCUUCGGACCUUGCGCGAUUGAAUGAGCCGAUGUCGGAUUAGCUAGUUGGCGGGGUAAAGGCCCACCAAGGCGACGAUCCGUAGCUGGUCUGAGAGGAUGAUCAGCCACACUGGAACGUAGACACGGUCCAGACUCCUACGGGAGGCAGCAGUGGGGAAUAUUGGACAAUGGGCGCAAGCCUGAUCCAGCCAUACCGCGUGGGUGAAGAAGGCCUUCGGGUUGUAAAGCCCUUUUGUUGGGAAAGAAAAGCAGCAGGUUAAUACCCCGCUGUUCUGACGGUACCCAAAGAAUAAGCACCGGCUAACUUCGUG